rnacentral:rRNA from 1 species
AGUGAACGCUGGCGGCGUGCUUAACACAUGCAAGUCGAACGAGAACGGAAUAUAGCUUGCUAUAUUUGUCAGCUAAGUGGCGCACGGGUGAGUAAUGUAUAGGUAAUAUGCCUCUUACUAAGGGAUAACAAUUGGAAACGAUUGCUAAUACCUUAUAUUCCUUUUUAUCAAAAGAUAAAAAGGGAAAGAUUUAUUGGUAAGAGAUUAGCCUGUAUUGUAUCAGUUAGUUGGUGGGGUAAUGGCCUACCAAGACAAUGACGCAUAACUGGUUUGAGAGGAUGAUCAGUCACACUGGAACUGAGACACGGUCCAGACUCCUACGGGAGGCAGCAGUGGGGAAUAUUGCACAAUGGACGAAAGUCUGAUGCAGCAACGCCGCGUGGAGGAUGACACAUUUCGGUGCGUAAACUCCUUUUAUAUAAGAAGAUAAUGACGGUAUUAUAUGAAUAAGCACCGGCUAACUCCGUGCCAGCCGCCGCCGUAAAAC